CAUAGGAUGAGCCACACAGAAUAAGAGCUGAGUAUAUUGACUGACCUAUAGGAUUAUGCAAAGUCAAAAUUCAGUUCUUCAUAUACAGAAAAGGGAAAUUACCCUGAGAAGGUAAUAGCUGAAUUGAAUAUAUAAGAAAGAAAGUUAAAAGUGGCGGGGAAGAUAAAAUAAGGAGGAAGCAUUCAGGCAUAAGAGCAGCCCUAAUAUAGCUCUUAUAGCCUCAUCAAAUGGUCGGUGAGAUCUGAGCACUGAAAGCAGCAGGAAGAAAGGAGAAACAUUCAGCUACAGAGUUUUUCAAUAGAAAUUGGCUGAUCCAAUGCAUUCGUUCACUGAGAGAGCCAGGAAUUGGACUGAUUCACAGAUGGGGUUGACUGGAUGAAUGUGACAAAGUAGCAAAAGGACCAGGUAAUUGAAAGCAUUAUCAAGAGUGUGUUGACAUAUGAACAGUAGACUCUAACUAAAUAUAGAGAUAUUUGAGGACACAGAAGAAGGAAAACAUGAAAGGUGGUCAGCAGACAUAAGAUGUCAAUGAGAUUACAUGUAGAAGUAGCUGAAAAGGGAGAAUUUUGAGAUCAGAAUGUGAUGUGAUUUAAUUACUGGUUGAAGUUGGGAUACUUACAGGUGCAGCGAUGUACUCAACCAAAAUAAAUGAGAUGGUAGAGUGGAAAAGAAACUCAUUGGCAGUGAGGUCAAGGAGCUGAAGAGGUUGCAUGUUGAGAGUUCAUGCCCCAAAAUGAAUAAUACGAAGGAAAGAUAAAAAGAUGGAGAAAUAAAGACACAAUAGUUCACAUGCUUUAGAAUAUUGAGGAAUCAAUAACGUAUGCUAUUGCAGUAGCUUUAAAGAGAUUAUCAUUAUAAAUGCUUUGGGUUCCCUCAGUUUUGAAUUUAAACAACAAAUAUUUGUACAUCAGAAUCUAGUGCUUUUGAAUAUUUUACAUUCCAGCUGACAUUACGCUCCUUUCUCCCAUUACCCGUUUACCCAUGCCACCCCCCCGACACACCAGAAAAUAUAGCAAAUAAAAAUAUGAUUUUGACAGUUCUGUCAUUAGGAAUCAAUGAAGACAGUCACAAGAUAUUUCCUAGUAAGCUCUUGGACAGAGAAAGGAAAUGUAAUUAAGAUGUUGACUAAUUUAAUGACGUCUAUUCUCCAGAGCAUAUCCACUUUUACCGCUGUUGCUAUUUCCAGAUCCUAUUUUCCAGCCAGUGAUUUUUUUCAUGAGUUGUGAUAUUCACUUGAAACCUUAAUCAUUCUCAAAGAUCCAGCUCUAAAAUGGAAAUUAGGGCUUUUCCCUCCAUCUGAAACUCACUUGAAAGAACUAAAGCUGCUGUGUCAACUGCUUUCAAGAAUUAUAGAGGGCAAAGCAAGGGAAGAGCUUAAGAAUAAUGUAAAAGAUUUUUAUUCUAAAACACUGAUUACCUAGACUCUUCCUGUGGAAAUUUAAAUGCUGAAUUUUCAGAUCCUAGAUUGAAAUGAGAGCGAGAUACACAAUAUGGCCUUGGUAAGAAUAUCUAAUAAGGACUCUGCCAUCAUAAAAUGAAAUGUUGGUGGCAUCCAAAUAAUGCACUACAAAUUAAGUGGGAAGCAACAUUUUUAUGCCUAAAACUCAAAUUUAAAGGGUUCUAUUAAUUAAGGUACAAUUUGUGGUGAACGAUAUUUCAAUAAACUUGAUUGUUAAAUUCUAUUUUUAUCUAAUACUAUCUAUACACUUUUAUCUUUGUCCCUGGCUUUUUAAACAUAAUCCUUAUUCAGUCUCUAAUUGCAUCCUCAGCUUCGUCUCUACUGGUCUCCUGGCUCUAUCAUUGUCCCUAUGCAGCCUAUUUUAUAAGAUUCUCCAAAAUGUCUCCUCAUUUUUGCAAAUGCUUUUCUUCCUCAGAAUAAAGUAAGGUGCAGUGGUUGAUCCCAUCCCACCAUUGAUUUCCAAGCUAUGGUAGGCAGAAUAAUGCCCUUGCCCCUGUAGAAGUUUAUAUGAUAAUCCAGGACCCUGUGAAUAUGUUAUGUUACAUGACAAAGGGGAAUUAAGUUUGGAAUUGGAAUUAAUUUGCUAUUCAGUUUUCCUUAAAAUAAAGAAUUUACUCUGGAUUAUCCAGGUGGAUCCAAUGUAGUGGCAAGAGUCCAUAAAAGUGAAAGGAGACAGAAGAGGGCUCAGGGCCAUAUAUAUUUAAAUGUGCUAUACUGCUAGAUUUGAAGAUGGAGGAAAGGCUUUGAACCAAGAAAUGCUGGUGGCCUCCAGAAGCUAAAAAAGGCAAAGAAAAGAUUCUCUGCUGGACUUCCUAGAAGGAAUGCAACUCUAAUGACACCCUGACCUUUACCCAGCAAGACUGAGUUUGACUUCUGACCUGUAGAACAAUGAUAUAAUAAUGUGUAUUGUUUUAAGCCACUAAGUUUGUGAAAAUUUAUUACAGCAACAAAAGAAAACUAAUACACAAGCCUGUACUUAUAUGUCUGUCAGCAAUUUUCUGCCUCGGGAUCCUCAUCUUCAUUAAUAACUUGCUGCAGUUUUUAAUUCACAUCAGUGACCAAGAUUGUUAGCAAAUCCACUUGAGUUGGUGUACUGCACAGUAGUUACAGUUUUCCAUUACUCAGAGGAAAUAGAAAAAAAAAAGUUCUCCUGAAAGGGAGCACUAGAAAAGCCAGCAUUAGAAAUUAUUAGAGAAGGAUCACUUCCCUUGACUUCUGCCCACGUCAUUCAUAUUGUCUGAAGGACUGUUUGUCCCCAUUUCCAGAUUUUCUUCUCUCAUUGCUAACCAUAUCCAUUUGGAGUCAAAUUCAUUUGAUUAUACCUUUAUUAUCGCCCCAAGUCUGUUUAUAGAAUACCUCCUAGGACUGCAUUAUACCUAUACCUUAUUUUUGUUGUUGCUUAUUAAGAUAGUUUCUAAAGUGUCUCUUCUUCCCAAGUAUUCCUCAGACAAUUGGAAGAGAAAUGUUUAUCUUCUCAUCUGUCUAAAUAAACAGCAAUCUCCAAAAUGUCUAACUCAACUCAUUGCUUAUAAUAAGCAUCUGAAACAUUUGUCAUAAAACCAUCCUAACUCAUACUAACUGUGGUAAAAAGAUGAAGACAAGUCUGAUGAAGAGAAAAUAAGAAUUCUAUCUAUAAGACACAAAGUUUUAAAUUUAAAAUCAUUCAACUCAAUAUAACUUGCAGCUAUCAAGUAUUAAAUUAUUUUUCUAAAGACAGCAUCAAAGUUAUGAAUACACUAUCAAUUUUUAUGCUGAGAGAUGCUUCCAGAGUGUGAGAAAGUGCCUUCCUAAAAAAAUUAAAUAUCCUCCUAAAAAUAUUAAAUAUCACUUUAGAAUGUUCACUAUUCAAUUUUCUUAUCUUUUUCUUUCUGAGAAAGUAUAAAAUUAGUUUUUUUAUGUCCAAAGGUGGUGAUUUCUAAGUAAAAAAGAAACCGAGUAUUUAAGUUUUAAUUUAUGACACUGUUGUAUAUGGUGCAUAUUUCAUGUAUUUGUCCACAUCUAUAAUUUUUAUACUUUGUUGUAUCAUCAACACACAGGAUUUCUGAGUUAUGGAACGUGGAUAAGGGUUUAACAAAUAAAUCCUUUUCAAAUUAAUAAUGAUAAUAAUUAUAAUCUUUUUUUCAUCCUUGAAAUCCCAAGUGGUAAAUGCUCCAACAAAAUAUUAUAUAUAGAAAACAGGGUUAUUAUAAACAGAUUAUCUUGAAGGACUAUCAAAAAACAUUACCAUAAUUACAUACUUAAGAACAUAAUUAUAAAAUCUAUUUGAAAUAAUUCAUAUAUUGAUAAUACAGCUGGAAAAUAGAAAUAUUUGGACUGCCCUUUCUGUGAUAAAGAAAUGUCAUGAUCCCUUCCUUAUACCUUACACAAAAAUUAAUUCAAGAUGGAUUAAAGACUUAAAUGUUAGACCUGAAACCAUAAAAACCCUAGAAGAAAAUCUAGGCAAUACCAUUCAGGACAUAGGCAUGAGCAAGGACUUCAUAUCUAAAACACCAAAAUCAAUGGCAACAAAAGCCAAA
rnacentral:lncRNA from 1 species